rnacentral:rRNA from 1 species
AUUGAACGCUGGCGGAAUGCUUUACACAUGCAAGUCGAGCGGCAGCGCGGGGCAACCUGGCGGCGAGCGGCGAACGGGUGAGUAAUGCAUCGGAACGUACCCAGUCGUGGGGGAUAACUGUCCGAAAGGACAGCUAAUACCGCAUACGUCCUGAGGGAGAAAGCGGGGGAUCGCAAGACCUCGCGCGAUUGGAGCGGCCGAUGCCGGAUUAGCUAGUUGGUAGGGUAAAGGCCUACCAAGGCGACGAUCCGUAGCUGGUCUGAGAGGACGACCAGCCACACUGGAACUGAGACACGGUCCAGACUCCUACGGGAGGCAGCAGUGGGGAAUUUUGGACAAUGGGGGCAACCCUGAUCCAGCCAUUCCGCGUGAGUGAAGAAGGCCUCGGUGUAAG